GACGAACGCUGGCGGCGUGCUUAACACAUGCAAGUCGAACGGAAAGGCCCUGCUUUUGUGGGGUGCUCGAGUGGCGAACGGGUGAGUAACACGUGAGUAACCUGCCCUUGACUUUGGGAUAACUUCAGGAAACUGGGGCUAAUACCGGAUAGGAGCUCCUGCUGCAUGGUGGGGGUUGGAAAGUUUCGGCGGUUGGGGAUGGACUCGCGGCUUAUCAGCUUGUUGGUGGGGUAGUGGCUUACCAAGGCUUUGACGGGUAGCCGGCCUGAGAGGGUGACCGGCCACAUUGGGACUGAGAUACGGCCCAGACUCCUACGGGAGGCAGCAGUGGGGAAUAGUGCAAAAUGGGCAAGCCUGAUGCAGCAACGCCGCGUGCGGGAUGACGGCCUUCGGGUUGUAAACCGCUUUCGCCUGUGACGAAGCGUGAGUGACGGUAAUGGGUAAAGAAGCACCGGCUAACUACGUG
rnacentral:rRNA from 1 species